UAUGCUUUGGGGAGCUGUAAGUAAGCUGUGAUCCAGAGAUUUCCGAAUGGGGGAACCCAGCACGAGUUAUGUCGUGUUAUCCGCAUGUGAAUACAUAGCAUGUGAGAAGGUAGACCCGGAGAACUGAAACAUCUUAGUACCCGGAGGAAGAGAAAGAAAAAUCGAUUCCCUGAGUAGCGGCGAGCGAAACGGGAAGAGCCCAAACCAACAAGCUUGCUUGUUGGGGUUGUAGGACACUCUGUACGGAGUUACAAAGGAACAUGUUAGACGAAUAACCUGGAAAGGUUAAUCAGAGAAGGUAAAAAUCCUGUAGUCGAAAACAUCUUCCCUCCUGAGUGGAUCCUGAGUACGGCGGAGCACGUGAAAUUCCGUCGGAAUCUGGGAGGACCAUCUCCCAAGGCUAAAUACUCUCUAGUGACCGAUAGUGAACCAGUACCGUGAGGGAAAGGUGAAAAGUACCCCGGAAGGGGAGUGAAAGAGAACUUGAAACCGUGUGCUUACAAGUAGUCAGAGCCCGUUAAUGGGUGAUGGCGUGCCUUUUGUAGAAUGAACCGGCGAGUUACGAUCUGAUGCAAGGUUAAGCAGAAAAUGUGGAGCCGUAGCGAAAGCGAGUCUGAAUAGGGCGAAUGAGUAUUUGGUCGUAGACCCGAAACCAGGUGAUCUACCCUUGGUCAGGUUGAAGUUCAGGUAACACUGAAUGGAGGACCGAACCGACUUACGUUGAAAAGUGAGCGGAUGAACUGAGGGUAGCGGAGAAAUUCCAAUCGAACUUGGAGAUAGCUGGUUCUCUCCGAAAUAGCUUUAGGGCUAGCCUCAAGUGAUGAUUAUUGGAGGUAGAGCACUGUUUGGACGAGGGGCCCCUCUCGGGUUACCGAAUUCAGACAAACUCCGAAUGCCAAAUAAUUUAACUUGGGAGUCAGAACAUGGGUGAUAAGGUCCGUGUUCGAAAGGGAAACAGCCCAGACCACCAGCUAAGGUCCCAAAAUAUAUGUUAAGUGGAAAAGGAUGUGGCGUUGCCCAGACAACUAGGAUGUUGGCUUAGAAGCAGCCAUCAUUUAAAGAGUGCGUAAUAGCUCACUAGU
rnacentral:rRNA from 1 species